rnacentral:rRNA from 1 species
UACGAGGGGGGCGAGCGUUGUUCGGAGUUACUGGGCGUAAAGGGCGCGUAGGCGGCGCACCAAGUCAGGCGUGAAAGCCCUGGGCUCAACCCGGGAAUUGCGCUUGAGACUGGUGUGCUUGAGUACGGGAGAGGAUAGUGGAAUUCCCAGUGUAGAGGUGAAAUUCGUAGAUAUUGGGAAGAACACCGGUGGCGAAGGCGGCUAUCUGGACCGUAACUGACGCUGAGGCGCGAAAGCGUGGGGAGCAAACAGG